rnacentral:rRNA from 1 species
CCUACGGGGGGCUGCAGUGAGGAAUAUUGGUCAAUGGACGAGAGUCUGAACCAGCCAAGUAGCGUGAAGGAUGACUGCCCUAUGGGUUGUAAACUUCUUUUAUAUGGGAAUAAAAUGUUCCACGUGUGGGAUUUUGUAUGUACCAUAUGAAUAAGGAUCGGCUAACUCCGUGCCAGCAGCCGCGGUAAUACGGAGGAUCCGAGCGUUAUCCGGAUUUAUUGGGUUUAAAGGGAGCGUAGGUGGAUUGUUAAGUCAGUUGUGAAAGUUUGCGGCUCAACCAUAAAAUUGCAGUUGAUACUGGCAGUCUUGAGUACAGUAGAGGUGGGCGGAAUUCGUGGUGUAGCGGUGAAAUGCUUAGAUAUCACGAAGAACUCCGAUUGCGAAGGCAGUUCACUGGACUGCAACUGACACUGAGGCUCGAAAGUGUGGGUAUCAAACAGGAUUAGAUACCCCAGUAGUC